rnacentral:rRNA from 1 species
AUACGGAGGAUCCAAGCGUUAUCCGGAUUUACUGGGUUUAAAGGGUGCGUAGGCGGGCGCUUAAGUCAGCGGUGAAAGGCAGCGGCUCAACCGUUGAAUUGCCGUUGAAACUGGGCGCCUUGGAUUCGGUCGAGGCCGGCGGAAUGCGUGGUGUAGCGGUGAAAUGCUUAGAUAUCACGCGGAACGCCGAUUGCGAAGGCAGCUGGCCAGACCGAGAUCGACGCUGAGGCACGAAAGCGUGGGGAUCAAACAGGAUUAGAUACCCUGGUAGUCCACGCCGUAAACGAUGAUCACUGGAUGCCGGCGAUACACAGUCGGUGUCUGAGCGAAAGCAUUAAGUGAUCCACCUGGGGAGUACGAUCGCAAGGUUGAA